rnacentral:tRNA from 1 species
GCCCUUAUAGCUCAGUGGUAGAGCGCAUCACUCGUAACCGUUCCACGGUUGAAUCUGAUAUGAUGAGGUCCGCUGUUCGAUCCAGCGUGGGGGCA